UUUUUUGUUUUUUGUUUUUUUUUUUUCUUUAAAUCGCUUUUCUCGUCGUCUUCUUUUUUUUUUCCGUCUUUUUCCAAAAACAAGGAGAAAUAUUUAGCUGUACAUCUAUUUUUCCUCCGCCGCCUUCUCGCCCGAGUUUGCAGCUCGCAGGGAGGAAACCAAACAAAGGCUAAAAAGCGAAAAAGAAGGGGGGGGGGGGAUCAAAAAGCCCCCGUGCCUUCUCCCCUCGGCUCCCCUAGGAGUACAUCUCCACCUCUCAGCCUUCCCCUCUCAGGGCGAAACUUUUCCUUUUCUUCUUCCUUUAAGGCUUUGUGUGUGGGUAUAUUUUCCUUUUUUUUUUUUUUCCUUUCCCCUCUGUCUCUUUCUCUCUCCGCGUCUUUCUCGCUCUCCUCGGCUCCUCGAUCUCCUUUUGCUCUUUUAUUCGCAAGUUUUGUUGUUGGUGUCCUAAGAAAACUUCCUGUGAUGAUGAUGGUGGUGAUGGUGGUGAUGAUGCAUUUCUCAAAGUUGUGCUGGUGCUGGAGCACUUUGUCCCCUUUGAAACAAGAGUCCCGCCGGAGCCUUCUUGCGAGAGUCACGCUCUGGAUAAGACAUUUUGUUUUCCUCUCUCUCUACCUUUCCUUUAGGCGGUUAGAAAAAAAAAAAAAAAAAAAAGACCCAAAAAAAAAAAAAAAAGAGAAAAAAGUUGAAAUUUCUCGUUACCUCGCGAAUUGUUUCUCUCCCUCUCCCGCUCUCUCGCUCUCUCGCUCGGUUUGUUGUUUUGGUUGUUGGUUUGUUGGUUGGUUGGUUGAUUGUUGGUUGUUGGAUUUUUUUUUUUUUGGUGUUUGUUUUGCUUUUUAUUUUAAUUCCAGCAGUUGGUCGAGGGAGGAGGCGGAGGAGGAGCGCCUUGCUGGAGAGGUGUGGGUAUGUGUGUGUGCAUAUAUGGUAUCCUUUAUACACUAACUCCAGCCGGGAAGUUGGCUGCCGGGCUGGCAGCGCGCACUGGCGGUGCCGGAGUCCCGCCGCUCGCCUCUCCCCGCCUCCCUCUCCCGGGCCGUGCCCGCGCCCUCCCUCC
rnacentral:lncRNA from 1 species